rnacentral:misc_RNA from 1 species
GAUGAAGAACGUAGCGAAAUGCGAUAAGUAAUGUGAAUUGCAGAAUUCAGUGAAUCAUCGAAUCUUUGAACGCACAUUGCGCCCGCCAGUAUUCUGGCGGGCAUGCCUGUUCGAGCGUCAUUUCAACCAUCAAGCCCCCGGGCUUGUGUUGGGGACCUGCGGCUGCCGCAGGCCCUGAAAAGCAGUGGCGGGCUCGCUGUCACACCGAGCGUAGUAGAUUUUAUCUCGCUCUGGGCGUGCUGCGGGUUCCGGCCGUUAAACCACCCUUUUAACCCAAGGUUGACCUCGGAUCAGGUAGGAAGACCCGCUGAACUUAAGCAUAUCAAUAAGCGGCGGA